AUCGCUGGCGGCGCGAAAAGAAAUUUCUGAGGGAUAGUACUUGUUAAUUUUAUUUAUUAAUUUUAAUUAAACUAAUCGAAAAUCAGUGUACGUAGCAUAACUGCUACAUUCUCCCUUAUCUCCAGCAAAAAAGGAAAACUUCUAGAAGUUUCCUUUUUUUAUUUUCCAGAACGGACUGACGCUAGGGCGAACCUGAGGAUGGACACGGUAAAGGAGUAACGUUGUGGUAUAAAAACAUAAUGAUGGUAAGCUCAACAGUCCUAGUAUUUACGGAGGUGACGGAACAAAAACCGAGACGAAGUAAUACAGCCAGUAUAGAGGCCACGCGAGAUAUAUUCAAUCAUAUUUGCAGAAAGUAUAAAACAUAGAAGGGAUAUGUAACUGACCGACAUACGUAACUGACCGAUAUAAGUUAUUCAACGCGAUAAUUUACUUUAAUUUAGUAAAACUAGAGAUUGAGAGGAAAAAAAAAAUUGCGUGUUAAUCACUUACAUUCUAAAUAUAAUUAUACAACCUUAUAGAGUAAGUCAACUCUUAACACUACUUAUUAUCUACAUUCUCAAGUGUUAGUAAACCCAUGAUUAAAACUAUAUUACAGGUGUAUAUUGACAACCCCUAACACAAUAUAACUAAGAACCAUACACAACAAUUAACCUAAACGAAUCCUAUUAACCUUAUCCAACAUUGACACUAGAGCGAACAAAUUCUAUUAAUCACCCCAGAAUUCAAUGAGGGACUAAUUCAUUAGGACCAGUUAAAACUACAUUACUACAAACCUAAACAUAUAUGAUAUGGUUCUGGAUAUCAACAACAUCUAAAAACCAAGGUAAAAGAUAAUCCAUAACGUCUACUUGCUUUCGUAGCGAUAGGAAGACACAAUCUAGGUAAAGAUACUAGCAAGCCCACUAUACUCAUGGUAUAGGGUAUGCUAAAAAGUAAAGAUACUGGCAAGCCCGCAUCUACUCAUGGUAGAGGGUAUGCACAAAAGGUAGAAGAUAAUAAAAUCCCAACUGUAAUACCUAAACUGUACUAUUGACGUGGUCCAAUUCUUUACUCACGACAAGAACAGUGAAGGACAGAUUUUUAGGACUUUAUAAUAAUCAAGAUAAAGAUAUACAUUCAAUCAAGAUAUAGAUAAGAGAUAAGCUCAUCAAGGUAAAGGUACGAGAUAAACUCAAGGUAAAGAUAAAGCUAAACUCACUUCAGGUAAAGGUAAAGAUAAACUCACAUCUCCCUUUUCAUAUUUAAGGUAGAAGGACAUCUACUAACAUAAUGCUCAGUAGGGAGACAAAUAAGGUAACUCACAUCAACUAAUCCAAGCAAGUGGUAGAGAGACAGGUAACCAAACCUAAGGUAAUAUGAUAUGUUAAAACUCAAAUCAUUUAAAAGAUAAUGACAUAGGAGAUGACAACCAAGUUAAACAUACUUACUUACUGCUGAAUAUCAGAACGAUCCAAUUCUAUAUGACACAUUCUAAUUUCAACCUAAGAGACACUCUAGGAAAACUGAUAGGUAUUGGUAUAUUCCUGAGCCAAGUGAAGGGCACAAGUCCAGGGUGAUCAAUCCUGAACCCACGCUAAAACACCGACACAGUUAAGUGAAUGCCUAAGCUUUAUGGCUUUGGUUCGAACCUAUACAAAACCAUAAAUCAAAGAAAAUAUUUGAAAUGUGUUCCUAAUUAUCCCUAUAAAUACUUAUUUAACUCAGAAUUCAAGAUGGGGAAAAUUCCCAUUAUCCAUCUUGUACUCCUAUGAUAGGCAGUUUGGGCUUUCAAGACACAACUAACAGCAAAAUGAACAAGUCCAUAAACUAAGAUAUUAACCAACAUUAAGAU
rnacentral:lncRNA from 1 species